GCGUCAGUAGUGCAACGGAUAGAGCACGCAUUCCCGGAAAGACUGAGGCGCAAGUUCUAGUUUCGCCUGAUGCG